rnacentral:rRNA from 1 species
UGAGGAAUAUUGGUCAAUGGGGCGAGAGCCUGAACCAGCCAAGUAGCGUGCAGGACGACGGCCCUAUGGGUUGUAAACUGCUUUUAUACGGGAAUAAAGUGAUGCCUGCGGGCGUUAUUGCAUGUACCGUACGAAUAAGGACCGGCUAAUUCCGUGCCAGCAGCCGCGGUAAUACGGAGGAUGCGAGCGUUAUCCGGAUUUAUUGGGUUUAAAGGGUGCGCAGGCGGCGCGCCAAGUCGGCGGUCAAAGUUCCGGGCUCAACCCGGUGUCGCCGUUGAAACUGGCGUGCUCGAGUGCGUGCGAGGAAGGCGGAAUGCGUUGUGUAGCGGUGAAAUGCAUAGAUAUGACGCAGAACUCCGAUUGCGAAGGCAGCUUUCCAGCGCGCUACUGACGCUGAGGCACGAAAGCGUGGGGAU